GAUGAAGAACGCAGCGAAAUGCGAUAAGUAAUGUGAAUUGCAGAAUUCAGUGAAUCAUAGAAUCUUUGAACGCACAUUGCGCCCCCUGGUAUUCCGGGGGGCAUGCCUGUUCGAGCGUCAUUUCACCACUCAAGCCUCGCUUGGUAUUGGGCAACGCGGUCCGCCGCGUGCCUCAAAUCGACCGGCUGGGUCUUCUGUCCCCUAAGCGUUGUGGAAACUAUUCGCUAAAGGGUGUUCGGGAGGCUACGCCGUAAAACAACCCCAUUUCUAAGGUUGACCUCGGAUCAGGUAGGGAUACCCGCUGAACUUAAGCAUAUCAAUAAGCGGAGGA
rnacentral:misc_RNA from 1 species